GAUUCUCCCGCCUCAGCCUGCCGAGUGCCUGGGAUUGCAGGCGUGCGCCGCCACGCCUGACUGGUUUUUGUAUUUUUUGGUGGAGACGGGGUUUCGCGGUGUUGGCCGGGCUGGUAUCCAGCUCCUGACCGCGAGUGAUCUGCCCGCCUGGGCCUCCCGAGGUGCCGGGAUUGCAGACGGAGUCUCGCUUACUCAGUGCUCAAUGUUGCCCAGGCUGGAGUGCAGUGGCGUGAUCUCGGCUUGCUACAACAUCCAUCUCCCAGCCGCCUGCCUUGGCCUCCCAAAGUGCCGAGAUUGCAGCCUCUGCCCUGCCGCCACCCAGUCUGGGAAGUGAGGAGCGUCUCUGCCUGGCUGCCCGUCUCUGGGAUGUGAGGAGACCCUCUGCCUGGCCGCCCAGUCUGGGAAGUGAGGAGCGCCUCUUCCUGGCCGCCAUCCCAUCUAGGAAGUGAGGAGCGUCUCUGGCCGGCUGCCCAUCGCCUGAGAUGUGAGGAGUGCCUCGGCCAGGCCGUGAACCUGUCUGGGAUCUGAGGAGUGUCUCUGCCUGACCGCCACCCCGUCUGGGAGGUGAGGAGCGUCUCUGCCCGGCCGCCCCAUUGGGGAAGUGGGGGGCAGCCCCCGCCCGGCUGCCGCCCCGUCCGGGAGGUGGGGGGCGCCUCUGCCCAGCCGCCCCGUCUGGGAAGUGAGGAGCCCCUCUGCCCGGCCGCCACCCCGUCUGGGAGAGACUGUUACAUUUAAAGAAUGCAUCAAAUAGCACAUACCCAGUGGCAGGAGAAAUCGAAGAUGAUUUGGAGGUUUCAAACCAGGGAGAUAUACGGCCACUCAGGAAAAGCAGGAAGAAAAUGUGGAGCUUGAGAUUUCAGCAGGUAUGUUGUGAGCAGAGAUGACCCAACAGCAGCAACAUGUCUCUAAAACAGGUGGUAUCGCCACUGCAUAUUUCUCGUGCAACUCUGCGCAUAUGCAGAAUCAAGGAUUUGGUGUUUUUCUUCUUCAAGAAGAAACAUGACAUAGGUUCUUUCAUCUGACAAACAUUUAUUGGGUACCUACUGAGGGCCAUACACUGUUCCAGGCAGUGGUAAAGUAGUGAAAAAGCUAUGCUCAUGAAGACAGAUAAUACUACUACUUAAAUUGAUUUGUUCAUUUGUUUAUGUGCUAUAAAGAACAAUAAACUAGGGAAAGUGGUUAAGGACGGGGUCGGCAUGGUUCUCAGAAUAUUCCAUUUAGAAGCUGACAAAAGGACCUCGUAGAACAUUCCUUUCAGUCAUCUUCCCUUUGAGCCUGAUCUGGGAAAGGCAGGCAACAGAGACCAGGACCACAGAUUCAUAAGAACCCUUGGAAACUCAGUCCUUCAUCAGUAUUGAAGCAUAGAUCUACGGUUAUUACCGUGAGAGAUUUCCAAACUUUAAACUUUUGUCUUAUUAUAGUAGCUGGCGCUAACAUGGGCAAACAAAUUAGAUCAGCUUAAGGAGAGAAAAAGAAAAGAAAAAUAAGAAUGUUAAUGUUAGUUCUCACAUCUGGGACUUCUGAUAAACCAAUCAAGAAAUAUUUCCUGAGUACUAAGCCAGAAUAUUCAUUUAGAUGCAAAGUGGAUUCUAGGGUAUGUGAUGUGUGUAUUUCAAGAGUAUUUCCUGUUUAGAUAGCAAGCUUUAUGAACUAC
rnacentral:lncRNA from 1 species